ACCUGACUUUGCCCUCCAGGAUGUCUGGCUCUAGAAAGAGCUGCGGGUUGAUUGAUAGAAUUGGACCUUGACUGACGGUCUGGAGUGCAGCGGCAGCAGCAGCGGCUUGGAAGCAGGCGAGCUGUGUGUUGGCUCCACGGAAGCUGACGCGCAGAGGCUCUCAGCGUGCUGGCCUUGAAUGAGAGGUGUUUUAGAUGGGAAUGUCAGUGUUUUAGUUUUAUGAGAAAACAGCUCACCUGUUAGAGCUGUCAUUGUUUCGAUGACUGUGGAAUGAUUGAACAUAUGUGAAUUGCUGUA